CGCGCAUGCUCCGAGCGAGCGCCCCGCUGAGGGGAAAGGUUUUGUCCCCGGGCGACUUGCGUACCAUCCCCCACCCGUGACCCGCAACCGCGUUCACACGACGCUUUUUUUUUUUGUCAAAAGUCUUCCAAAACCAUUUUGAAGCCAGGAACGUAAUCAUCUCCAUUGCUGCUCAACUUGGAUGACUGAGAACAAGCACCUCCACCAACAACAACAGGCAAAUGCAAAAAUUACCAUCCAGAUAUUGCCUUCUACAUGAGCUACAGAAGCUUCUAGAAUUACAAAAGAGGUAAAAAAAACUGAGACACUAACUCCCAUCCCGAUUUGUCAACACGCCCUGGUUGUGUCUGGCCACUUUGCAAAAACAUCUGAGUGGUUAAAAUCUGAGGAAACCUCAUUGCUUGACAAGAUGUCAUUCCUCCCGAAUACAACAUUUGUGAUGACGGCACAAUGCGAUCCAUUUGGGGGGCCAGAAAUUUUCCCAAGAGCUCCAAUCCGAAUCGCAUUGUAGAACAUUCACAUGUUUGAGGGGAAGCGAAGAAUGACUCACUUGAGGCCAAAGCUUGGGAGAUACUUUGGAGAACAGGUUGGACCCCUUCUGCUUUGAGGCAGGCCCUCAAAUAUUGGAACACCGUCCUUGGACUCUCCCAAAAAAUUCGAUGAGAUGGAAACUUGAAAACAGGCUUCUUCAGGUUGGAUUAGAAAGAGGAAGAUUGGGAUAAAUAAACUAGAUCCUAUUCCCUUUGGGGUACUCCGAGAAGAGGAUUCUGUGUUCGUUUGUAAGCAAGUCUGGUUUUCUCUGUCUCCACGAGAUCAGCAAGAUUGGAGAACUCAAGUCGAUUUAGCUCAGCUACUGGAUUA